UGGCGGAGGGUGAGUAAUGUCUGGGAAACUGCCCGAUGGAGGGGGAUAACUACUGGAAACGGUAGCUAAUACCGCAUAACGUCGCAAGACCAAAGAGGGGGACCUUCGGGCCUCUUGCCAUCGGAUGUGCCCAGAUGGGAUUAGCUAGUAGGUGGGGUAACGGCUCACCUAGGCGACGAUCCCUAGCUGGUCUGAGGGGAUGACCAGCCACACUGGAACUGAGACACGGUCCAG
rnacentral:rRNA from 1 species